GCAGAGCUUGCUCUGUGGAUCAGUGGCGAACGGGUGAGUAACACGUGAGCAACCUGCCCCGGACUCUGGGAUAAGCGCUGGAAACGGCGUCUAAUACCGGAUACGAGAUUCCACCGCAUGGUGAGUUUCUGGAAAGAUUUUUUGGUCUGGGAUGGGCUCACGGCCUAUCAGCUUGUUGGUGAGGUAAUGGCUCACCAAGGCGUCGACGGGUAGCCGGCCUGAGAGGGUGACCGGCCACACUGGGACUGAGACACGGCCCAGACUCCUACGGGAGGCAGCAGUGGGGAAUAUUGCACAAUGGGCGGAAGCCUGAUGCAGCGACGCCGCGUGAGGGAUGACGGCCUUCGGGUUGUAAACCUCUUUUAGCAGGGAAGAAGCGAAAGUGACGGUACCUGCAGAAAAAGCGCCGGCUAACUACGUGCCAGCAGCCGCGGUAAUACGUAGGGCGCAAGCGUUAUCCGGAAUUAUUGGGCGUAAAGAGCUCGUAGGCGGUUUGUCGCGUCUGCUGUGAAAUCCCGAGGCUCAACCUCGGGUCUGCAGUGGGUACGGGCAGACUAGAGUGCGGUAGGGGAGAUUGGAAUUCCUGGUGUAGCGGUGGAAUGCGCAGAUAUCAGGAGGAACACCGAUGGCGAAGGCAGAUCUCUGGGCCGUUACUGACGCUGAGGAGCGAAAGGGUGGGGAGCAAACAGGCUUAGAUACCCUGGUAGUCCACCCCGUAAACGUUGGGAACUAGUUGUGGGGUCCAUUCCACGGAUUCCGUGACGCAGCU
rnacentral:rRNA from 1 species